rnacentral:rRNA from 1 species
GACGUAGGGGGCCAGCGUUGUUCGGAAUUACUGGGUGUAAAGGGUUCGUAGGCGGUGUGGCAAGUUGGGAGUGAAAUCUCUGGGCUCAACCCAGAGGCUGCUUCCAAAACUGCUGUGCUUGAGUGUGAGAGAGGCUCGUGGAAUUGCAGGUGUAGCGGUGAAAUGCGUAGAUAUCUGCAGGAACACCCGUGGCGAAAGCGGCGAGCUGGAUCACAACUGACGCUGAGGAACGAAAGCUAGGGGAGCAAACAGG